CCUCCUCUCCUCCCUCCUCUCCUCCUCACCCAAUAACUUCUCUCCUCCCCUCCAUCAACCCAAAACUUCCCUCCUCCCCUCCCUCCUCCCCUCCUUCACCACCUCACUCCAAAACUUCCCUCCUCACCUCCCUCACCGCUUCUAAGAAGUUUCUCUGUGCCUGGAAACAUUACCAUAAUGAGCUAUGAGCAAUUCCAAAGCACUUGGUUUUUCAUUGUAUUAAUUAAGUCUAUUGCUUUGCGCUCGCUCCCUCAUCCUCGUGUUCCUGGAGGUAUGAACCCACUGAACCUGCCUGGGAUGAGGAUUUGCUUCACUAAAAUCUCUUCCGUUUUUUCUUCAUAAUUCGGCUCCGGAAAUCACAGAGUGAUGCCAGCUUAUAACUGAAAGCCUGUGAAAAACAGUGGAAUUUUGAAAGAUUUUUUAAAUCAUGUGAGAAUUACUGCCAGUGUUGAAGGUGUAUGUGUUGUACAUGGUGUAAUGUGUAAUGCUGCUGUUCCUUUCUCACGUAUGGCCUUUUCUCGUGUGUGUGCGCGCGUGUGUGUAUGUGUGUGUGUGUGUGUGUUCACGUGCGUGCGCAUGCGCAAUUCCAUCAGGGAGCUGCCCCCCCUACUUCAUGGCGUAGAUAGCGAGGCUGUCCGGAGCAGACCCUGAUGAUAAAGACUACGAAGAGUUUGGAGAGUUGCUGGAGCAGGCCGAGACUCCAUAGAUUCCCAAUCCACUGUUUGACCUGGCAGAUAUAACAUGGUUCCCUUUUGGACCUUUUUUAGGAGCAACGCUAAUUGGGAAAGCCAUAGUCAAAAUGCACAUUCGAGAAACUGUUUGUGAUCAUAACCUUCAGCAGGCACAUAGUGGAGCAGAUGGUGUCUCUGAUUGGGCUCCCUCCUUUUUGUGAAUGUGAUUGAGUGUACGAGUGUGUGUGUGUGUGUGUGUGUGUGUGUGUGUGUGUGUGUCUGCCACAGAUGGCUGGGGAGCAGGCAGGGUUGUGAUAAACACCCUGGCUGGGUAGUACUAGGGGGAUCUCCAUCCAGGAGCGGGCUCCAUGCCUUAGUGAUGAAGUCAUUGGGAAAGAGCCUGAUUCAACUGGACCAGAUACGGCUGACAGAGUGAGACAUGGAAUCAGAGGGACACGCUCUGUUUUUUUCCACCACCGUAUCUUUCACUGUAAUUCAACUAACGUAUUGCUUCUACUAUCAUUAACAGUAUUUUAUUUGACCACAUAACAGCAAUUCUACAGUUUAUAUUACAGUGUGAACAAAAUAAAUGAACUGUGUGAAUAAGUUAUUUGAAACUUUACAUUGAAAUACUUUAAUUGGCCCGUAAGUCAAAUUAGAUGGGCACCUUUUAUGUGAAUGGUUUAAUCAUUGAUAUUCAGAGGUGUGACAAAGACUUGCAGGUUUCAGUUUCUCAGGUCAGACAGACACAAUGCCAUUAACACCAAGCCUGAGUUGUGGAUGUAGGCCUAUCUGGUUCUACUGGCGGAAGUGUUAUGUUUGAUGUGAACUUGGGUUCUGAUGGUCUUAUGUUGUACAAGCUCUUUGUUGGUAUGUUGUAACCAGUUGGAUCUGGCCAGGUUAGCUACCUGAACUAGCUGUCAUGUCCUGCCUAUGAGUUGGAGGUGUGUGUAUAGCUGUGUAUGAUCAUGCCAAUAGUGUUCACUAGUGCUUGUUGAGAGUAAAAAAGUGUGAGAGAGUAUUUGUGCUUGUGUGUGUAUUUUUUAUUUGAUUUUUAUUUAACCUUUAUUUAACUAGGCAAGUCAGUUAAGAACAAAUUCUUAUUUACAAUGACGGCCUACCAAAAGGCAAAAGGCUUCCUGCGGGGACGGGGGUCUGGGAUUAAAAAAAAUGCAUACAAUAUAAAUAUAGGACAAAACACACAUCACAACAAGAGAGACAACACAACACUACAUAAAGAGAGACCUAAGACAAUAACAUAGCAAGGCAGCAACACAUGACAACACAGCAUGGUAGCAGCACAAAACAUGGCACAAACAUUAUUGGGCACAGUCAACAGCACAAAGGUCAAGAAGGUAGAGACAACAUGUCUCUGUGUGUAAGAGAGCGAGAGCAAGUGUGUGUGUGCCCCUCUCCCUCCUCAGAGGUGGCAACCUGAGCUGUGUGUGUGUGUAGGGCAGCUUCAGAAGAGGCCAGGGGUCAUAGGUUACCUCUGACUCAUGUUCUGUGGAAUUUGGUCUCAAGGAAAUGAAAAAAAAAUGAGUAUUUUUUUUUCUUUUUUUUUCGUAACAGCAGCAGGAAAUAAUAGCAAAUAACAAAUCGGAAUGUUAAUGAUGGUCACAAAUUAACCCUUACAUGUUUUGUCCUCUAUGUAAGAGGAGGAUGUGGUGGUGGUGGUUUGAGGAAGGAAGCAAGUCUGAUUUCCCUCCAAAACCCCCCAUCUAUCUCCUUGUGAGAUCUUAAGAGCACGGUUCAGCACUUGAGCAAUUCACACCUCCCUGGCAAUUUAUCAAUGAGCUGCUUUCCUCCUUGUUGUGACUUAGCCGUGAGUAGGCAGACAGACCUUUUUCUCAGCUAGACUGGGCACUCAAAACACUGACAGCGGCUAUCUGAUUUGGCACUGCUUGUUUCAUACAGGCAGACAUCUAUAUCAUGAUGCAUUAUGUACUAAUCAUUUCCAUUCAUCUAAGCGGGGCCUAGGCCCUACCCCUUACUUGUCAGCAUGUGGACAUGUAGGAGUAGUCCCCAGGUCUGCUGGCAGGCCUUCAGUCACAGCCUCUCGUCUCCUCCAUCAUUAGACAGAACACUGUUGAUUUGACCGGUUGACCAUCAGCGUCUGGAAUAUGAAGUGCUUUUUGUGUUGUUGAGGUUUUUUCAGUCAUAACAAGCAUUCAUUGAUUCAUUGUGUGGGAGUAGAGUCAGUAGGCAACCUGGGAGAGAGAGAGAGAGAGUGUGUGUGUGUGUGUGUGUGUGUGUGUGUGUGUGUGUGUGUGUGUGUGUGUGUGUGUGUGUGUGUGUGUGUGUGUGUGUGUGUGUAUUUCAGUGUGUGUGUGAUGAUACCUCUACCUCUUGUAUAUCUGAGUCAGUCCUCAGUUCCCACCACUGACCUGAGAUAAUGCAGUGAGCUAACAGGGUGAGGAGAAAUAAGAUGCAUCCUCUGAUAGAUAAAGUCACCGCUUCCAUGUAUCUACGAUAUGCAUCGCACAGUUUAUAUCACUUCAUAACGUUAACAAGAGAGUAAUUACAAAUAUCUGAUCAAAAGUACACGUGCUGUAUAUCAAUGUAAAAAAAAGUAUCCACUCAUUGUUUGCUGUAAAAGUGAUCUGUUAUUUUAGGUUAGUGAUACAUUACAAGUCAUAAAGUCACACCCUGUGUCCUACCUGGCGUCUGCUCCCACGUUCUGUCCACAAAGCUGCUUUAGCGUGGGCUCUGUAGUCCAAACAUACCACCUUAUCUGGUCAAUGGCACCAUAUAUUUGCUCUCAGUGUCGCAUAUUGAUUAAAUCGAACCUUAAGUUUUCUCAUAAAAACAACCUUCAUUUAUUUGUCUAAAAUAAGUAUUUUGCUAACUUUUGAUCCCAUAUAAGUGUCCUUAAUAAUGAAUUUAGGCCUAUAGGUUAUUGAAGGGUAUUUUAUUUAACCUUUAUAUAACUAUCUUCAGUUUGAUUCUUUUUGUUUGAUGUAUUUAUUUAGGCACUGGUAUAUUGUGAGUCACUGAAUGAUGACCCGUCUGGUAUAAAAAUUAUUAAAUUGAGGAUUUUUCAUUUUUUAUGAAUAUCAAAUGCUUAAGUUUCAAUCAUUUAAAUGAUCACCAAAUAUGAAAAUGGAUAUUGUGAUGGUAUUUUAGGUAUUCGAAAUUGAUAUCUUUUUAACCUGCGAAUUAUAAUAGUUUUGUCUCCCGUCAGAGACAUUGCAAUGUUUUUUCUCCCGUCGGAUUGCAUCAUUUUAUUUAUAUUUAAACUCCCUUAUUAUGUUUCACUGAAAAUAUACUUAACUCAUUCAAUGUGAGAAAUGGAAUGUAGCAUUCAAUGUAGAAUAGAUUUAGAAUGAUCUAUUAAUCAGAAUUGACAGAAUUGAUUCAAAUCUAUAAUUUACAUUUGUGAUACGUUUUUGUUCAGUUGACUAUAAUUAUGUUUGCUUGUUGUUAUUUUAAGGAGAAAUGUUAUUUUGAAACCAUUGACAUUAUUUUAGCUAGAAUCCAUAAACAUCAAUUAUGACUGCUCUAUUUUAUAUCCCUAUUACGGAAACUAGAUAAAAGCCAUGUUUCUCUUUAAUAGGGAAAUCUUGAUUUUUGUAUUUGAUUGUUUAGUUAAUUCUAAAAGUGUCUAGAUUUUUCUUGUUUGCUUUAAAUUCUUUCUUUAGUCAUUAUAUCACAUAGAUGUAUAUUUCUCCACCCACUCACACUAUUAGACCCACACUGUAGGUGAAUAGUAAAUAUAUUGAUGUUAUAGUAUUGUAAACCACAUGAUUUCAACAAACAUGGUGGUUACUAGGUUUGAUCAGUAGCUGUUGAGCAAAUAGCAGGAAUUUAAAGUUGACUGAAUAACACUAUUUUAUUUGGAUUUUAACUAAAUACGGCUACUCCCUCUUAUGAUUAACGAGCCACCAAAUUCUUUAUGUGGUGACAAAAAGAAUUGAAGAGAAAACAUUUCAUUUAAAAACUCACAGAGAGUAAAUCUACUACAACAAUGACCAGUCAUCACCUUUUUCACCUUUUUCACCUUUCACAAGCAUUUUAAUGCAUGCCUUCAGAAAUCAUACUUUUUCCAGAUUCUACAUUCUCACUGGUCCUCAACCCUGCACAUUAGAGGCUGCUGCCCACUGUACAUAUACAUUGAAUUACUGGUCACUUUAACAAUGUUUACAUACUGUUUUACUCGUUUCAUAUGUAUAUACUGUAUUCUAGUCAAUGCCAUCCUAUUCAACUAUUGCUGUAUAUAUACUAUUCUAUACUAUGUGUACUACAGAUAGAUAUACUAAAUAUUCUAUCUACAUACUGUCCAAAAUGUCUAUACAUCCUGCAAUAACAUCUGCAAAAUAUGUGUAUGCAACCAAUAAAAUGUGAUUUGAUUUUAAUGUAACAUUUUAAAUUCCUCUUCAACAAAAAUACAUUACAAUCACUGUCUGAGCUUCUUACAAAAAUACAGCACAAAAUAAGGUUUUAAAGAUACUCACAGGUAUAUAAAACAAUGCAAGAUUAGAAGAAACAUCUAAGUCCAGAAGGUUCACAAAGCAUUGGUCUGUAGAAUGUUCUAGAAAGUUUGAGAUAGUUCCAAAAGCUCAAAACAGGCAGAUGUAUGUACAUAAGGACACACAGAUACAGCCCUAAGGUAUUAAAAGCAUGUUUAUGACUGUUAGGUUUGAGUUUCUGUCUACUUGUUGAGUGUUUGAGCCGGGUUCAUGACUCACUAUUGCUCAUCGUACAGGGCAUGAAUUGAGCCCGCUUUUUCUCAAACCCUGACUUUCUCUCUUUGUUCUUGGCAGUUAGUUUUUAGUCAGUUGGAAAUUGAAUCUCAUUUGAUUUUGGAAUGUAUUUGUUUGUCUUUGAGUUAAGUUAUUACUAGGAUUGUUGUACUAGUUAGCAUUUUGGAAGCAGUUUGGUUUCUAGGUGUGUAAAAGGUGUUUGGGAUUAAAGAAUUUGUAGGAUGAAUGGGGUAGGGGACUAAACUUUAAUCCACUCUCAUCUUCCUCAUUUGGUCUUUAGAUCCAUAUUUGGAUCUUAUUUUGGGUGUUCUUUAUUGUGUCAGUUGAGCAUGAUCCAUCUCUAGGCUUCUCUUUGUGAUUUGCAGCCUUUUUUCUGUCCAUUCAUGAGGAGGAAAUCGGUAACUCUGUGUUUGGUUCAUGAUUAAAAGAAACGUAACUGUUGUAAACUCAUGCAAACGCUGAAGCUGAUACAACUUGUUUUCUCACACAAUUAGAGGGAAGGCGUGUGUACGCGUGAGCGUGUGUGUGUAUGUGAGAGAACACACGGACAUGUGUGUGUUCAGCAUGUAGGGAAUUACUGUAGUUUGAAAGAGAAAGUUAUCAGUCCUAUAAAGUCAACGCUAUAUGACCAUGCCCUGCCUUUUGUGAACAUACGGUUUGCACUUUGAGUUGUGUCUUGGAACAUGCCACCCCCACCCCACCAUUACAGAAGGAGUUGGAAUGCUUUUAACAAUGGUGGUAAAGGGAUAUAAUUGACAGUGUUCUGCCACUAAAGAGUAUAAGUGAAGGUCUUUAGUAUGUAUUUGUUCAGUGAUUAAUCACUAACUCCUGACUAGGGAUGGGCCAUUCUCUGUUCCAGAGCAUUGUCUCUCUCUCUCUCUCUCUCUCUCUCUCUCUUACUCUAUCUAUCGCUCUGUCUCUCUCUCUCUUCCUUUCUUCUUUGUGUGUGUGGGGUGGGGGGUGUGGGUGGGUAGUAGUGUGCUUGUAGUUGGUGGCUGAAUCUUGUAAAGGGUUUUCCUAAUAUGGGCCGUCUUACUGAGCCUUCUCCUCCUAUGGCUGCUAGAGGGCAGGGCCUUCCCCCUCUCUCAGCCAGUGAUGACACAGGCACGACUCACUUCCUUAUUAAUUGGCUGAAACCAGUUCUUACAGGAACCGCCGGUGAUAAAUGUGAGAGUUCUGAGAAGUCAUUCAUUUCUCCUCGCUCGCUGCAGCCAAGAGGAGAGGAGCAGUGCAGGGGAGUUGAACGGGUUCACGGAUGUGUGGGUGCCGGAGCCGCAGUGUGUGUGUCUGUGGAUUUAGAGGACAAGCCAACUUUUUCCCCUUUUCUUUCUUUAAAAAAACAACAAAACAAGCUGAAGUGCGUAGGAUAUGUAGCUCUCAGUACAUCUUGUACUUUUCAGUGUUUAAUUUUUUGGGGGUCUUUUCUGAAUUCCUGUCUGUGGGGAUGAGCUGUUUGAGACCGCAGUCUCUCUCUCUCUCGCGUGCACACUCUGUGUGGAAGGAGGGAAACAGGGAGAGAGGAAGGGAGGGGUAAGCAGCACUGUACAGGAGGCAGUGCAGCAUGUCUCCCUUUGUUGCUGCCCUUGGCCUGGUGGUGAGUAACAAUGAUGUGACAUGCUCUGUCCCCCCUCCCCUCUCUCUCUCUUUUUUCCCCUCCCUCUCUCCCUCUCUUUUUCCCUCAAUCUGUUGGCUGUGUCGCAGUGCUGUCCCAGGGCUGGGCACCUCUCUACAGAAGCCCUUCAGGGAGUACUUGGAGGCCCAGAGGGUCAAGAUGCACCACUGCACGGGAGAGGGGACCCCAGCCGUAAGUACCUCGUCCUCUACUGUACUCUAUCACCUCCCUCUUAUUCACCACCUCCCUCAUGGAGGGGGCCUUUCUCUGAAGAAUGUGUUUCCCUCGCUGUCUUUCUUUUAUUCUCUCUCCACUUUUCUUUCUACUUGUCUUUGUUUUCUCUCUCUCUUUCUCACGCUCUCUUUCUCUCAUUAAUUUUCCAUUUCAAAUGUGCUUUCCUUUCAAUCCCUUUUUCUUCUCUCUUUUUUUCAAUAUUUUAUUUUCUCAGAUUUGUCAUCCUUCCAUCUCUCCCUGACUGUCUUUCUUCUACAGUAGUGGGAUGAAUAUCAACAGUGCAGAUGAUACUGUAGUCCAGCAGUAGUAAUGUAAUAGUACUGUACCUCAGGGCCUCGGGGCAGCGUUUAGAGUGACAGGGAGAGGGUUCGCUGGGUGCAUGGCGGGCUGGGCAGGCUUAGGGGGGCUAAGAGGGGCUGGGGCUGAGGGAGAGGGGGCCAGUGUAGGGUCUGGCCGUAGCUCUGGUUGUAGUGUUACCGCUGUUAUCACUUAACAGUGUUAGCAGUAGGUAUGCUGAGUCAUGCUCAGUCUGAGUGGAUGGAAGGGUGUGUGUGAGUGGUCAGUCACUCCCCCGUGUCACAGAGUGCCCUGCCUGAACCCAUUGCUAGUGCUGACUGGGGACCAGAGACCGGGGCGGGGUCCCCCCAGCCCUGCCAAUGACAAUCCAUCAAAAAAAUCAGUCUGGAACAGAAAGAGUCAGUUGUAGCUGGAGCCAUAUCUCUUUGAUAGCUUUUUUCAUUUUCUCUCCUUUCCUUUCUUUCUCUGUCUCUCGCUCUUGGUCGCUGUCUUCCUCUCUCAAAGUGAUUCAUUGAAAAUGUUUUUAUAUUUCUCCCUCCUCCGAAGCUAGUGAGAGAGAAAAAAGGAAAAGAGAGACUGAGUUGCACAACGAGAGAUUAAGGCUGUUUCUAGAACAAUGUUCCUUUUUUCUUGUAACUUGAACCUCCUGCAGUUAUAGGAGAAAAGCGAGGCAAUUUAACUUUGGGAGAGUGAGGCUGCCAGUUGGGGUCACCAGGGGUGAGGGAGGAGGUUGGUGGGUUCGCUUUUACUACCACUGAUCUCUGUCUCUCUGUCCUGCACAUGGAUGGAUGUGGGAGCGGAUCCCAUCCCACACAGAUACAACAUAGGUUCUACUGUAGCGUCAGGGACCAGAGACAAGGGAGGUGGACUCCAACGAAAUCAGGGUCUCGCCCUUCUAUUUCUGUUCUGUUCCUCGUAGGAUGAACUGGCUGUUGUGGGUCUUUGAGAAGGUGAUCGUGGUCAUGGUUUGUUUCUUUGUCUGCUCCAUCGUCAACUCCACAGCCCAGAGCUAUGCCAAGCGCCAGCAGCAGCAGAGGUACUAUGAAGGCAAAACCAAGUGAAGGCGACACUGAGAGGAGAGCAGCUAGCCUAGCAUACAUUCUGGGCUCUCGCUCAAAUAAUCCCCAGCACACUUUCUGCUUCUUCCUCAUUUUUCUCUCUUUACCAAUAAUCUCCAAUGAGACGCAGACCGUCAUAAUCCGAAGUAUGGGCGUCCAUGUUAUCGAUUGAUGGACAUCCACCAUGUGAAGUAACCGUUUUCUUUGUUUCUGUAGUGGUACUGAAGUUUAUCCGUUUACCUUGAACUUGGACUUAAUUUGUUUGUUUGCCAGGCUUUUUUAUAGAGAUGAUGGCUCAUAGUUUUUGGUUUCCUUGAGUGGUUGUUCACUAUAAGGUAGGUGCUUGGCAAUGUGGUGUUGUAUGGAUAGGACAUCCAUUUCAUUGAGCAGCUCUACAGUGACUGUGUGGGUGGGUGAGCAGCUCUGCGAGGCCUUAAGUAUUCUUGGGUCCAGCUUCCAGUACUGCAACUAAUGGUCUUAUCAUAGAGCCAGUUUAUUUACGGGAUUAUGUUUGGCUUGGAUGGGUUUUAUUUUUAAAUUUUAAUUUUUUGGGCUGGAUGGGUUUUAUUUGACUAAGGUUAUAUAUUACUUAAGUUCCCCGAGGCCUAAUCAUUUUUUCCCCAGUUAAUUUAUUAGGAGUUUUGAUUUUCGUUGGGUUUUUUUCAACUGUUGUGGUAUUAUGGUAAGACAAGGUAUGAACAUUAAACGCAUACCUUGUUAAUAAGCUUAUGAAUCCGUUUUUCAAAAUUGUACUUCUACAAAUCUGCUGUAGAUAGAUCUCAAAAUAGGGAGUUAAACAACCUGAUGUGUAUCUGUAGGCCUACAAACAUACUGCUAUUGAUGUCAUUUGUAUGCUUUAAAAUUCCACAGAGCGAGCACCUUUGGCUCAGACAAUAUAAAUUGUCAAUGAAUCAAUCUGCUGGUCCCUUUGUCUGGAGUUAUUGUUCUAUUUCCAAUAAGAGAGCACAUGAGUCAGACCCAGGGCUCCUCAACCAACCAGAUGCACUGAUGGAUUGAAUUAGAUCUCAGUGUGUGCAACUUUUGUUACUCUUCCUUAUUGAGCCUUUCAUUUGGAUCACAAGUUGUGUUUGGUGGUAUCUGUUUAGUUCAUAAGAUCUUUUAGGGCUUUAUAAGAUCUUUUGUGCCUGGUUUGAAGCUCGUGGUAAGUGUUCCCUUUGUCUUCAGUGCCUGUAAAGCUUGGACGCUCUGCAAGCUCAUGUUCACCAUUACUCUGGAAGGAAGGAGGAAAGGAAGGGCAGCACGUAAAAAAUGAUGUUAUGCCAUCAAUGUUUCUUUUUUCUGUCUCUUAAGCUCGUUGGAUAACGUCAGCUGGUUUAUGAUCCAAGAUUCCUCUUUUUCUUAAUUGCUUGUGAAUUUGUUUUUUUUCUGCUCCGUUGCCCUGGUAUGUUGGUUUGGGAGCUCCGGGCAGGCAGGCAGGGUGGGGAAAGAGAGCAAGCAGAGAGAGAGAUCGAGUGCAGUGAAAAGCUUCUGUGGCAUUACCUCGAGUGAACCCUCUUAGGAACUCGCUGCACUGCCCCAGUGACGGAGCCAGGAGACGAAUCAGUCGAGUAGAUUCAAAACAGAGGGGCACUGUUGAACACACAGAGCCUACCUCCCUCCGCUCUGCUGCGGCUCUGCUAAUCACACCAUUCAAAUACAGCCUCUCUCUCUCAGGGUAAGUAAUGGAAGGAUUUUUUCCCUGUUCUUUCAUUCUUGUUGCGUGUGUGUCUCAGGCAUGUCCGUCACACUCUCGGCCUGUCAGAUAGCUUAUCAGACUGGUGUUGGCUGUUACAUUGCAAGGCGACAACAGUCUGUAGGCUGUCUGACAUUUCGGGCUCUUUCAUCUGACCAGCAUCCUGUUUUCUCCUUGUCCGUCUGGUGGUGGUGUUGUCAUUGCUGAAGCAUCGGUUCCCAUUUUGAGCUGCGUUGUCUGAUGUUAUAGUUUCUCUGUUAGCCCCUCUGUUUGUAAAAUGAUGUUUGAGACACAAGUCUGUUGUUUAUUUACUCUUCUAUCGAUGUAUUCUUGAUUGACUUUGUUUAAAGUGGUUAUAUUGCUAUGCCUGUCUGUACAUGAAAAUGUAUUGCCGUGAAUGUGUCCCAUUGGUGUGUGUGUCUCCAUUUUUUUAACUUGUAUCAUUGCCUUCCUGUUAAAAGGGUGUGUGUUUCCGGGGUUUGGCUCAGUCCCCUUGAUUUCCAGAGAAUCAAGAAAGCACACACCUUAUUGCAAACAUUCUAUUGUGACAUACAGCCAGUGUUUUCUAUGGUACACACCGUCCUCGCCUCAGAUAGGUCCCUCUUCCCCUUUACACUUUCCUCUUUUCUCUCACACACUUCUUUCCAGUUUCCACUAUUGCUCAAUAGCUGCAUUUGUUUGUCAAAUGUUGCAUUUUAUUGGUACUGUUUUUCUUGUUUUUGCUUCAGGGUUUGUAUUUACAAUUGUAGAAAAAGCUGAAAUCAUGGCUUGACCAUUAGAUGUUCUUUCUGUGGUCAUAAAUUCGCAGAGCCAAGAUGACUUACCUUUUGAGAAAUUACUUUUGUUUUUCUGGAAUAUGGGGGAAACUUUUUCCUGGUUAUAAAAGCAAAAUCCUUGGAUAACAUUGGAAUGGUCCCGCUGGCUCAGGGAGUAUGUUUUCCUUGGCAGUUUCAGAACGUCCUGUUCCAUAAGGGAGCCCCCUUUUUUUUGGUGUCUGUGUGUGUGUGUACGUUUCUAUGUGUAAAUGUCUGUGUAAUGGUGGGUGUCUGUUUUUCAAUGUAUGUAUAUACUGUUUUAGUUGUUUUCUCUUUUAAUAAAGUGAACUGAAAUAAA